CGACCAGAACUAUGUCUGGGAGUGGCACACUGCUCAGUAACACGUAGCUAACCUACCCUUAGGACGUGGAUACCCCCGAGAAAUUGGGGUUAAUCCGCGAUAGAUGUAAUGUCCUGGAAUGGUAUUACGUCUAAAGGUAUUUCAUACAUGUUUGAAAUAUGCCUAAGGAUGGGGCUGCGGCCGAUCAGGCUGUUGGUGAGGUAAUGGCUCACCAAACCUUUGACCGGUACGGGCCAUGAGAGUGGUAGCCCGGAGAUGGACACUGAGACAAGGGUCCAGGCCCUAAGGGGCGCAGCAACCGCGAAACCUCCACAAUGCACUCACGUGCGAUGGGGCUAUCUCGAGUGCCACCUGAUGAAGGUGGCUUUUCCUUGGUCUUCAAAGCCUUGGGAAUAAGAGGGGGGCAAGACUGGUGUCAGCCGCCGCGGUAACACCAGCCCCUCGAGUGGUGGGGAUGAUUAUUUGGCCUAAAGCGUCCGUAGCCGGCCGUGAAAGUCUUCCGUUAAAUCCAGCGUCUCAAGCGUUGGACCGCGGGAGAUACUACAUGGCUAGAGAGUGGGAGAGGUCAGCGGUAUUCUGGGGGUAGGGGCGAAAUCCUUUGAUCCCCGGAGGACCACCAGUGGCGAAGGCUGCUGACUAGAACACGUCUGACGGUCAGGGACGAAAGCUGGGGUAGCGAACCGGAUUAGAUACCCGGGUAGUCCCAGCCGUAAACGAUGCAUGCUAGGUGUUGGGUUGGCCACGAGCCACCCCAGUGCCGCAGGGAAGCCGUUAAGCAUGCCGCCUGGGAAGUACGAUCGCAAGAUUGAAACUUAAAGGAAUUGGCGGGGGAGCACCACCAGGCGUGAAGCCUGCGGUUUAAUU
rnacentral:rRNA from 1 species